CGAAUAUAAGAGACGUCUCUUAGCUUUUAACUAAAAAACUAAGAGACGUCUCCUAAACAAUAGAUAUAAGACGUCUCUUAGUUUCUUUUAGUUAAAAGCUAAGAGACGUCAUUAUAUUCG
rnacentral:pre_miRNA from 1 species